rnacentral:rRNA from 1 species
AACGAACGCUGGCGGCAUGCCUAACACAUGCAAGUCGAGCGAGACCUUCGGGUCUAGUGGCGCACGGGUGCGUAACGCGUGGGAACCUGCCCUUAGGUUCGGAAUAACUCCCCGAAAGGGGUGCUAAUACCGGAUAAUGUCUUCGGACCAAAGAUUUAUCGCCUUUGGAUGGGCCCGCGUUGGAUUAGCUAGUUGGUAGGGUAAAAGCCUACCAAGGCGACGAUCCAUAGCUGGUCUGAGAGGAUGAUCAGCCACACUGGGACUGAGACACGGCCCAGACUCCUACGGGAGGCAGCAGUGGGGAAUAUUGGACAAUGGGCGAAAGCCUGAUCCAGCAAUGCCGCGUGAGUGAUGAAGGCCUUAGGGUUGAAAAGCUCUUUUACCCGGGAUGAUAAUGACAGUACCGGGAGAAUAAGCGCCGGCUAACUCCGUG